GAGAGUAUAGCUCAAGUGAUAGAGCACAUGCUUGGCACGCAUGAGGUGCUGGGUUCAAUCCCCAGUUCCUCCU
rnacentral:tRNA from 1 species